rnacentral:RNase_P_RNA from 1 species
AAAGCAGGCCGUUCUAUCGCAGCAAUGCUGAGGAAAGUCCGGGCAACGCAGGGCGCCAUGCUUCCUAACGGGAAGUUGUCGCGAGGCAAAUAAGCGUAACAGAAAAUAACCGCCGGCCAUAACGGUGCAGGCAAGGGUGAAAAGGUAGGGUAAGCGCCUACCGGUUCCGAUGGCGACACCGGAAGCCGUACGCAUCAUGGGUUGUAAGGCCAUGUACACCGUCGUUUGAGGGUAGCCCGCCCAAGACGGGGGGUAGGCCGCAUGACUCCGGCAGCAAUGCCGGAGCAAGAUAAAUGAUAGAAUCCGGGCAACCGGAACAGAACCCGGCUUACAGGCCUGCUUUUUAU